rnacentral:rRNA from 1 species
UUAGUAGCGGCGAGCGAACAGGGAUGAGCCCAGCACCGAACCUCGCGCCCGGUUGAGCGGGUGCCGAGGAAUGUGGUGUUCGGGAGGAUCGUGCGCGCCUGUCCGGUAUUUAUCGUCCAAGUCUCCAUGAACGGGGCGAGCAACCCACAGAGGGUGUCAGGCCCGUAGCUUAGACGAGCCGAGACCGUGCAUUGGAUCCCUUCCCAAGAGUCGGGUUGCUUGAGCGUGCAGCCCUAAGCGGGAGGUAAACUCCUUCUAAGGCUAAAUAUCGCCACGAGACCGAUAGCGAACAAGUACCGCGAGGGAAAGUUGAAAAGAACUUUGAAGAGAGAGUUCAAGAGUGCGUGAAACCGUUCAGGGGGUUAAACGGGUGGGCCCUCGAAGGUCGAACGAGCCCCCGCUCCCGGCACUUGGUUGCAUGCCCCCGCUGCGAGAGACUCUCUGAAUUGGGAGCUCGAUCGCCGGUGGGGAACGCAUUAGCCGCGCCAAGGUCCGCUAGUGGGGGGCCUAGUAGGACUCCGCGACCGACUGGGUGUCCUGUCAUACGGGGCGUUCGUUAGCGAGUUUGUCGGGG